rnacentral:rRNA from 1 species
AUUGAACGCUGGCGGCAGGCCUAACACAUGCAAGUCGAACGAGUGGCGGACGGGUGAGUAAUGUCUGGGAAACUGCCUGAUGGAGGGGGAUAACUAAUGGAAACGGUAGCUAAUACCGCAUACCAUGGGAUGUGGCAAUAUGGGAUUAGCUAGUAGGUGGGGUAAAGGCGCACUUCGGCGAAGAUACCUAUCUGGUUUGAGAGGAUGACAAGCCACCCUGAAACUGAGAUCCGUUCCAGACUCCUACGGGAGGCAUCAUUGGGGAAUAUUGGACAAUGGGCGAAAGCCUGAUCCAGCCAUGCCGCGUGUGUGAAGAAUGUCUUCGGAUUGUAAAGCACUUUAAGUUGGGAGGCGUUACCAACAGAAUACGCACCGGCUAACUUCGUGCCAGCAGCCGCGGUAAUAC